GCAUGGAACUGUCUGCGUGAAAGCCUCUCUGAGUCCCACCGGUGACCCGGCCUUGCCGGGUGGCACCGGAGAUUUGUGGCAACGAUUCCUAGAGCAGCCAGGCCUUCCUCUGUGACUCCUCUGCUCCCAAACGUUAUUUGUUGCAGCAUAAGAGAUUGUAGGAAAGGUUUCUACUCAAAAGCAGCAGUUAACUCUGCAGCAUCCUGUAUGAGCACUCCAGAGCCUCCUUUUUACAGCCCUUCGCGGCCAAGCGCUGUUAACAAGCUGGCCAGCCUGCUUUCAGCUGAUGCUAAGUGAAAAUUAAGUCAGAAAAAAACAGUUGCAAACUUUUCACGAUGAGCUGCUAAGCUCCACUGAAACUGGGAAAUUUUGAGGCUGUUACAGCAUGAGAAGGGAUGUUUGCAUACUCAGGUGCAGACAAGUGUGAAUUUGUGCUGCCUGGGUUUCCAGAUGCCUGGACACGUGCUGCUUGAGAAGCCAUUCAGAUGCUUGAGCAUGGAAUUGGUGCCCGAACCACCAGACCACAGCCAUGCACCAAAAUGGAUGCCAGUUCCAGUUGUCACCAGCCCCUGUGGCUUGGAGUUUGGGUGGAGCAACCAUUACUAUGCAGAUACACCCCAAAACCAUUGUAACUCAGCUGUUAAUGUUUUUUAAACAAAUAAAAAGCACAUUUGGGUUAAAAAACAGACCAUUUUUUCUUUCAGUCACUGAAGCAGCUACCAGCACUUGAGUGGAGGGCGGAUGAGGAGCAACACUUGACCAAGUGACUGCACUUGUUUACACACCACAAGAACUCUACAGACUUCAUUGCAUCUAUUAGGUCUGCACUCAUAACAAGAAGAUGGAUCUUACAGAUCUUACAGAAACCUGCAGGCAACAGCUUACACACAUUUGGAGGCUGAAGGAGCUGUAUGUGCCAGAAGACAGCAUCUUUGGAAAACAUGGUGCACAGGAACAGCAUGGAAACCAGGCUUCGCUGUUUCUGAGGAUUCAGCACAUAAACUUUGUUGCUGAUGCAAUAGUGAAAUAAUUUGUCUUUUUAAUGCAUACAGGCAUAUGUAAACUGUAACUAGACAAAAACCUGUUUUAUUGUUUAAGUGGGACCAAAGUAAUUUUAAGAUGUACAGUAGCCCCUAGGUCUACAAAACAUAAUGCUAUCUGGACCAUAAACUUUCAAAGAAUACAGUUCAGAAAGAAUAUCUUAAAAAGCAUAAGGUAUAAUAAUCAACGGGAAAAGAAACUAAGAGGAGCAUUUGUUUGCAGUAUUUGUUUGCAACUGAACAUUUACUUCAAAGUUAUUCCUUCAGUCAGUUCACCCCCUAAUAAGUAUCAGAUUUUCUCACUGUAGUGUCAGCUUUGGAGAGAGGAGCUUUCUGCCUGCCUGUCUUGCCAUUCCCAGUCACACAGCAGCUUGUAAUAUUCCAAGAACUUCUCACUUGCUCUCUAUGCCUUUUAUUUUUUUUUGGUCUCCCCAGUCUGAAUGUGCUCACCAGAUGCAGUGGCAGUUAAACAAAAACACCAUAAAUAAAAAUAGGCCAAAGAAAGGUCUAGCUAGAUGCAGUAUUUUCCCAGUAUUUUCUAGUGAGUUAUCCUUGCUGAAAUGGUAUGUAACAAACUCUGCUAACCUAUGGGAAUUCCAGAGAUAAAUUCAUAGCAGAGAUAUUCAGCUCCAUGCAGUUCUAGGCAACUUUUGUGCAACAGUCAGUCUAAACAUUCACUUGAAUAAAAAAUUAUUAAAUGCA